GAAUGAACACGGUUCUUUUAGAAUUUUUCGAGCAGGGAUUUUGACUUUGGUCAAAAAAUCCAAG
rnacentral:snRNA from 14 species